UGUAUGUAGGUGAACAGACGCAUGACCAAGCUUAAAGGCAUCUGCCUGGAAUAUGUUUUUGUUAGCCAACCUAUGUGCCUCCCGUGGAGGUUCCGGAUAUGUCAAGUGACUAUGGCUACGUGAUUUAAAGUUUAAGUUUUGUUUUCCUGAUUGGUUAGACAAGUCUUGAGUAUUUUGUAAAUAGGGGUAAGUCCCUCUUUGUCUAAUCUGUGUAUAUAUGUAUAUAAAGUUUAAAAAAUUCUCUGUCUCAUAUAAGUCUACAUAACUCAAUGGAAGUUGUUUAAUUGUUAUUUGCUUCCGCAGCCCCCAAUUAUAUGUUAUUCUGUUAAGAGGCCUUUGGUAAUCCAAGGAUUACUGGCCAGUUACGAGGCUAAACCUAUAGGGGCAGGUUUGGGUCGUAACAGCCUGAGCCUGACUUGCCCUUUUGAGGGUGACGCCAUUCGACCCGGCUACCUACCACCCAUAUACACACGGGAUGGCCCCUAGUGGUAUGUUGAGAUUUGACGAUUUUGAUCGGGACGCGCCAGAGGACCUCCUCCUGCGAGAGCGCACAUCGCAUCUUUCCCAUGAUGCUUCUGAGGGUGACGCUUACGCCUAGGGAGGUUACAACGAUAUGACAGUGAGGCAUUGGUAUCAAGAGCUCCCCGUUAGAGUCCGAGAGAUGGUCAAUGAGGCAGACUUUGGCCUAUUUUGCUCCAGGCUCUCACGGUUACAAGUGAGCCGGCCUCUGCUUGGCGCCUUGGUGGAGAGGUGAUGGGACACGACCAACUCCUUCCACUUCUCCUCCACAGGGGAGAUGAUGAUGAUGCCCUACGAUUUCUUGAUGAUCACAGGGCUAUAAGUAAGGGGUGAUCCAAUCCCCUUUGAUCUGGACGUGGGGUAGUGGCCUGGGUUUAUCUUCUUGGAGCACGCCCUCCGUUGGACAAGCCCUCAAUGGUGAGAUAUAGUUGGCUUUAUGACCACUUCCACGGGAGUCAACCAGAGACUUAGGAGAAGGCAAAAUAGUAUGCCCGUGGGUUUUUGAUCUACCUUCUCAGCACCACCUUGUUUGCGAAUAGGUGAAACACUGUGGGUUUAUAUCUUCUGAACGCCCUGGUGGGAUUGCCUCAGGUUCGCUUCUACAACUGGGGUGGUACUGGCCUUGCCACCCUGUAUGGCUACAUGAGCUCCGGUUUUUGCAAGAAGGGAACAUGGUUGGUGGUUACUGGAGAGCCCGAGAGCUUUGGGUCUAUGCCUACUUGCCCACUCUCGCCCCAACUCUGAGAGAUGAGGUGGCGGUAGCCAUGCCUCACUUGAGAUUGUACAAUGAUAGGUGUUACCCUCGUCACCACAGCAUUACCACUUUUGCCUACCAUCGUUGCUUUUUCGACACAAUGAUGGCCCACAAGGUUACCUAGCAGCUGUGGAUGAUCAUGCCCAUAAAGGCGAGGGAUGAGUACGCCGGUCCUAGGGAUACUGUAGACGUCCCCGAACGCCCCGGGAGAAACGAGCUCCCGUUCUGUUCAUUUUGGGGUCACUACAGCUCAAGACUCUCCAAAUUU